AUUGAACGCUGGCGGCAGGCCUAACACAUGCAAGUCGAGCGCGCGGCGGACGGGUGAGUAAUGUAUGGGGGUCUGCCCGAUAGAGGGGGGUAACUACUGGAAACGGUAGCUAAUACAGCAUACUAUCGGAUGUACCCAUAUGGGAUUAGCUAGUAGGUGAGGUAGUGGCUCACCGAGGCGACGAUCCCUAGCUGGUCUGAGAGGAUUAUCAGCCAGACUGGGACUGAGACACGGCCCAGACUCCUACGGGAGGCAGCAGUGGGGAAUAUUGCACAAUGGGCGCAAGCCUGAUGCAGCCAUGCCGCGUGUAUGAAGAAGGCCUUCGGGUUGUAAAGUACUUUCAGCGGGGAGGCGUUACCCGCAGAAGAAGCACCGGCUAACUCCGUGCCAGCAGCCGCGGUAAUUC
rnacentral:rRNA from 1 species